rnacentral:lncRNA from 1 species
GAGGGAGAGAGAAAAAGGAGACCCUUAUUCCUAGAGACCACAUGUUAAGACGGAUCACCACAUUUCCCAUGUGGGCUCUUCCACCAGUUGCUAAAACUGAUUCUUGGAUGCUUCCGUGCUUCUUGGAGAACCCAAAUAAGGACUGGGGAUGACCAAGUACAAACACCAUAGCAUUUAGAAAUGAAGAGCAAGAAGCUGACAGGAAAAUGUGUAUGCAGGAAUUGAAUGAGGUUUGGGUUACAAACUAUUUCCUUCCCUCUUUGCCAACAUGUGGCAAUUGGGUUAAAAGAGGGGGAGAAAAAGUACUGAAUGCCAGCAAAAAGAUAAAGAUCCUCCAAAAUUCAAUCUUACACACAGUCCCCGUGAUAUAUUCAUACACUGGGAGUGUCAGGAUACACUGGUUAGUCCAUGCCCUCUGAUGAAAAGUAGAGCCAAAAUGAAAAAGAAAGCUAAUGGAAAUAAAUAAGUACUUUUCAGUAAAGAUCGUCAUGUUCAGCGCUGUGAGUGGCAGAGAGCUGGCACAAACAUGGGAACCCGAUGAGGACUUCUGCUGUGUGGUCAAGGAAAAGCAGGCAGAUGCAGGCCAAGGAGAGCUGGCCAAUGAGAACACAGCCAUAGCUCACGGCCUCUCCUGGCAGCAGGCAAGAUUGAUCAGAUGCCAUUUUUCACAAAAAAAGGGCAAAGUAUUCUGGGUACCACCACCUGAAAUUUGUGCUUCGCUGGAGGAAGCGGGCUGACAGUUUCCUACAAGUUGCCCAGUUAUUGCAGGGCGAUUAUUUAUCACCAUAGUGGUCUCCAUGACUUGUGAACACGUGAGUGGGAUUUAGAAGAACUAGUCUAUGCUAUGUGCCCUUCACCUGCUUGUCCCACCUUCUGGUGCUUCGGGUGCUCGAUUUCUACAAUGAAGGUUUGGAUGUAACAAGCUCUCAGAUCCCCUUCCAGUCCCCAAGACUAUGGUCUUCAUCCUUGUGUCACAAUAUGCUUCUAUCCCUCAAUUUUGAGUCAGCUUCUAGAUAUGUUUACGUAUUCAUACGAGUUCUAAUUUUUGACUGUUAUAUACUAAUAAAAUGCAGAUGUAGAAAGCAAUAAAACAUAUAAAUGCUAAUAUUUUCUCUCUAAACCUCCAAGUUUAUCUUCAAUUCACUUCUCUUUGGAUAUCUUUUCUCUAAAAUCAUUUCAACUCUGCUUUUCCUUAUGAGUCUAAGACACUGGUCUCAAAUUAUCCUAUCUACAGGGGUUGGGAAAGAACAUAAAAGAGUAAAGAGACUGCAGACAGCAUACCCUUUGCUUGAAUACUAAACAGGUAGGAAAACUCAUUGUUUAAACAGUCUUCUUGGUGAAUCUUUUGUUAUCCUGUUUCUAAAAGAAUGGCUGCAGAGAAAUCUCUUUGCUGAGCAUGCUGGCAAUGGCAGCUGACACCUCCCCUGAGUUGGGGAACGGUAGGAAUUGGGGUGACCUGUGCACACAGGCCCAUGGGCCCAUGCGAGGGUGGAAGCUGCUUCUCCAGUGGGUUCUCGUGCAGGACAGGAACCCUAGUGCUACCAAGUACAAUUUCAGACAUGCUAGUAAGUUAAUUUCACAAAUAAAUAUUGGCUCAAAAAUAACAGUGCCAGGCACCGAGGCCCUGCAUAUGAUGACGGUGACCCACACUGAUGGAGAGUCCCCUGGUGGUCUUUGAUCUGAUAUUCAGCUGACGUAGCACUGGAUUUGUGUGCGUGUAUAUAUGUGUGGGGGUGGUUGGGUGUGUCAGAGAGAGACACUGAUAAUAUCGGCAUUUUGCAGUCAAACAUUCAAGUUCUGGUCAGUGUGAUUAUGUAUGUGUAAGACAGAAAACCAUGAAAUGCCAUUUCAUAAAGACCACAAUGUUUUUUUCUCACUAAGUUUUCAAAAGGGAAACUUUCUUCUGUCCUUUUAAGGCUUUCCAUCAGAUGGUGAAAUAAGUUAUUUAGUCAUAUAAAUGAGGAAAAUAUUAUAUUGACAAUGUCAUUUUCAUAUGGAAUUCUCAUAGAACACUAUUUUAAUCAAUUUUUUGUGUUUUAUUAGAUGAGAUUGGCAAACUUUUUCUAUAAAGGAGCAGCCACA